GACGAACGCUGGCGGCGUGCUUAACACAUGCAAGUCGAACGGAAAGGCCCUGCUUUUGUGGGGUGCUCGAGUGGCGAACGGGUGAGUAACACGUGAGUAACCUGCCCUUGACUUUGGGAUAACUUCAGGAAACUGGGGCUAAUACCGGAUAGGAGCUCCUGCUGCAUGGUGGGGGUUGGAAAGUUUCGGCGGUUGGGGAUGGACUCGCGGCUUAUCAGCUUGUUGGUGGGGUAGUGGCUUACCAAGGCUUUGACGGGUAGCCGGCCUGAGAGGGUGACCGGCCACCUUGGGACUGAGAUACGGCCCAGACUGCUACGGGAGGCAGCAGUGGGGAAUAUUGCACAAUGGGCGGAAGCCUGAUGCAGCAACGCCGCGUGCGGGAUGACGGCCUUCGGGUUGUAAACCGCUUUCGAAUGUGACGAAGCGUGAGUGACGGUAAUGGGUAAAGAAGCACCGGCUAACUACGUG
rnacentral:rRNA from 1 species